GCGCCCGUAGCUCAGCUGGAUAGAGCAUCAGACUACGAAUCUGAGGGUCAGGAGUUCGAAUCUCUUCGGGCGC
rnacentral:tRNA from 1 species